UAAUCAUUUGCCUCCUAAUUAGAGGCACGUAUGAACGGGAAACCGAGAAUAACCCUGUCUCUUUUCUGCCCAUAUAAACUUAUCUCUAGGUGAAAAAGCCUAGAUUAUUAUAAAAGACAAAAAGUCCCCGUCGAACUUUAAUCUCCCCUAGCCAAACCACAUCACAACCUAUUACGAUUUUCGUUGGGGCGACAAAGGAAUAUAAACUUCCUACACACAUACGACAUCAAGUCACAUAUUAAAAGACCCUACCACUGAUCCUAGGACACA
rnacentral:rRNA from 1 species